CAAACAUUUUAAAAUGUAUUCAUGUGAUUUGCAAUUAAUUUUCCUUCAAGUACUUAUUUCCAUAUGAACUUUAUGGUAUUCAAUUAAGAAUUAGAUUACGCCCUGCCCACUUUGGGAGGAGCCUUUUAUGCAUAUUUACCUAUGAAUAUCAGAAUUUGUUUUUGAAUUUGAUACUGUCACAUGACCUUAAAAUAAACUCUAUAGUGCAAACUGCUUAGCAACAGCAAUCGAACAUUCGAAAGUGAACAUGUUUCUUACUUAGUUGAGCUGUUGAAUGUUCAGUUUGGUGGUUUAGUUGCUAAAAGACCGAUCGAGCACUUCAGAAGAUCACACUUUAGCUGUCGUCUCAAUAUCUAGAAAAUUAAAUAUUAAAUAAGGGCAUUUUCAUUGUGUUCACGACAUUGUCGACGUAUUAAAUACAAGAGACAAGAAACAAGAAACAAGCCAAAGAAACAAGCCAAAAUAUCUGGUACUUGUACAUGUUGCCAUUAUUUGGAAACAAGAUCUUGGAGGAGUUACCGAAAGUAGAAAGUAAGGUCUCUUUUUCUUUGUAUUUUAAUUAAAACAUGUUUUAUCAA